UACGUAGGGUGCAAGCGUUGUCCGGAAUUAUUGGGCGUAAAGAGCUCGUAGGCGGUUCGUCGCGUCGGCUGUGAAAUCCCGAGGCUCAACCUCGGGUCUGCAGUCGAUACGGGCGGACUGGAGUUCGGCAGGGGAGACUGGAAUUCCUGGUGUAGCGGUGAAAUGCGCAGAUAUCAGGAGGAACACCGGUGGCGAAGGCGGGUCUCUGGGCCGGUACUGACGCUGGAGGUGCGAAAGCGUGGGGAGCAAACAGG
rnacentral:rRNA from 1 species